rnacentral:lncRNA from 1 species
AGAGAAGAAAGCUAUGACUACUGUCUUAGUACUACGCGCACUUAUUUCCGACUUAGAAGUUGAUUGGCCUAACAGUAGAAUAUUGCAUAGAGAACAAGACCCUAGGAGAGGAAGAAUCACAGAAAUGAUCGAGAUCUAUGCCAACCGGAAUAAGAGACGAAAACAUAUUAAUAAAUUAGAACCUGCCUCAUUAAGUAAUGCAUGGAAACGGUGUCAUUUUUCCAGGAGUUAACGAAUAGAUAAUUGCGGACUUUAAAAAAUAGGACUUUAUAGCAAUAUUUUAACCGAUGAAUAUUUAGUCACAUGUGUUCUACAACACAUUUCGAUGUACA